UACGGAGGAGGCAAGCGUUAUCCGGAAUUAUUGGGCGUAAAGCGUCCGCAGGUGGCACCUCAAGUCUGCUGUCAAAGACCGGGGCUUAACCCCAGAAAGGCAGUGGAAACUGAAGUGCUAGAGUGCAGUAGGGGUAGAGGGAAUUCCCGGUGUAGUGGUGAAAUGCGUAGAUAUCGGGAGGAACACCAGUGGCGAAGGCGACUACCUGGCCUGUUCUUGACGCUGAGGCGCGAAAGCUAGGGGAGCAAACGGG
rnacentral:rRNA from 1 species